UAAGGGACAAUACUUUACUUAAUUUAUAAAGCAUGAGAAAACUGAUGGAGGAUGGUUAGUACAGCAGCAAAGUUUUGUAAGCUCAAAUUUAUAGACUGAUUUAGUAGUCUCUGUGAGUGCUACAUGCAAGUCAGUUUAGAGUUUCUGAGGGGAACGGCCUGGUCCAUCUUUUCUUGUGAUGUGAAUUAUGAUGUAGGACAUAGCCACAAGGGUUAUUUCUUCUGUUGGCAAGUAAUCUUAAGACUUUUUUCCCCGGGUGAUUCGUAAGACAGAUUACCCUACACAAUUCACAGUUUUAGUAUCUCUUAUGCACCUAAAUAUAUCUGUAACUGAAAAAAAUCAGGUUCCCGCAGGUUUUGACUUGACUAACAAAUUUAAGUGAAUUUGUUAUUCCUUUGUGUGCUCUUAUUUUUAUUACUCAAAUAAAUCUCUAAUUUAGCCAGGCUAAAAUCAAUGGGAUGCAGGCCAUAACCAUGUACACUGGUACUGUAGGCAAACAACUACACUGGUACUGUAGGCAAACAACUAUGGACUGUUAGUGUAUUGAUAGUGCUAAUUAUAUACUAUCCUAAGUAAGCAUAAAUUACAGUGCCCAAGAUAUAUUAUCAGAGUAACCAGAGUUUGGGUGUAUUUUUUGGAGUUUUGUUCCUUAAGAGUUUCUCUUCCAGAGGGAGACAACUACUUUCUUUGUCCUUACUCAUAUAGUACUAAUGAAAUCCAAUUGCAUACUGAAAUCUACUUGGUUAUUCUUCACUUAUAGUGGUAUUAAUGAAAUCCAGUUGCUUACUCAUCUAUUAGCUUAGCAAAACUGAAACUAUAUAUACUGUACUGUACUUUCAGUAAUAUAGAUGCCCCGUCUCGAAGUCCCCAAGUACCAGGUGCUUGCUCCCAGAUCCGCACUAUAUACCCAAUUUUUGCUUGAUUGUGCAGAUUUGUAAAAAAAUCGAUUUGGAGACAAGUUAGAAUAACCUUGUGAAUUAUUGCUAGCCUUGCAAGAGGCAGGCAAGGAAGGCCUGAAUGUUGCUGAAGCCGAGCUCAUAAAUGUCUCACUUCAUGUGGUUCUGUGAUAUUAUGAAUCUUCUUCUCUGAAGUGUGUAGUCUUCUAGCGUUAUUCCCUUAGUUUUUUUUCAUAUGCAUGACAAAGAAAAGUGACAUGCAUUUUAAAUCAUUGGAAGUAAGCGUUGAUGUGUUGUGAGAACAAUUAAUGAUGUACCUUCAUCUGCAUGAAGAACGAAGAUUUUUCAUGAUUUUGUAUAUCCUUCAGUUGCUUGCUGUAACAUGAAGAAUUCACAAGCAUUCAUAUGUAGCAGUGAGUAGAAUCCAUAUGUAGCAGCAAGUCAUGUUUGUACGUUUAUACAUUAGAGGUGUUUGGGCAUGAGUCAAUUGGUUGUAGCAGCAGUUAGCAAGUCUUCUGCAGAGUUGAAUGUAUCUUUACGUAAGGUUAAACUUCUAUUUUUGUUUCCCUCAAGCAUGCCAGGUCAAGCAUGGUAGAAAAUUUGAAUGUUUAAUACUUGUGAUUGGUCUGGAUCUGAAAUAUUCUACCAACAAACUAACGGUUUGAGGCUUACCUUUUAUUUGUGUUGUAACUGCAGAAAAUAGAUGACAUCACUGAACUGAACAUUGCAGAGGAUUUGGAUAAUCGACCUUAAAAAAGCAAAAAUUGCUGAACCAGGUGUUCUGGAGCCAUCGCCAAUGUCGCCAACUAUGUCAGCAUCUACACCAAUUUCUGAAUGUUUUGAAUCCAUUGUGCCGGAAUCAGAUGAUCAGAUAGAUAAUGAUCCAUUGCCAUCUACUCCAUCGCCAUCUAGCUCAACAUUAUCUCUUGUUUUCUCAUUACAUGAUAUUAAGGAACCAGAUUCAAAUAAAGAGAUCAAAGUUGAUGAGACAUGAUUAUCUCCCACAAGACUAUGCAUUGACCGACCAUGAUCUAUGUGCACAUAUAGCAGUAGAAUCAUCUUUGAGUAAAGAAUUGCUGGUUCGGAUAGAUAGAAGUUAUGUGUUACAAAAUCAAUUGAUGUGCCUGCUAGAUGAAAAGGAGUGGGUAAAUGAUGAUGUGAUCUAUGCAUAUAUAUGUUGUUUAAAGGACUAAAUUCAUGUCCAGAAUGACAAUAAAGUAUAUGUUGAGAGUCCUUUUGUUACCUCACUAUUAAGACGGGAUGGUAACCUUGGCAUACAAGAAGAUAGUGCCUUUAUGACAAAUAUUGUCCAAAAAUAUAUGGAGUAUGACAUGAUAGAACUUCCAAUAAAUGCCAGCAACAUGCAUUGGUAUUUAGCUAUCGUGAAUACAAAAAAGCGUGAGAUUCAAACAUGCAUUGGUGCUGGAAGUUUGUCCGAGAGGACCUUGCUAUUACGCUACGAGAAGUACAAUUUCAUUUGGAUAUUCUUAAAAGUCAAAACCUGAUUAAGGACGAUUGGAAAGACGUUGAUCUUACUGAAUGAAAGAUCACAGAACAAUUACAAACUCCAAUUCAAGAAGACAGUUCUUCUUGUGGUUUAUUUACGGUCAAAUUUAUGGAAUAUUUCACCGGAUGUACACUAUCCUACCCAAUUACACAGGAAAUGAUUUUUGAGCCGUGCAUAUUGGGUUAGAGUUUGUGAUAUCCUCCUAUUACAACGCACGGGCAUUUGUGCUAGUCUAUCCCUACCUAAUAAUAAAGCACGGAUUGACUUUGUCGGGUUCACCAUCACAA